AAGUUGUCAACUUCAAAGUUACAUAACUUUUUGGGACCUAUAACUUUUAUUUUGUUUGCUUCUCCAUCUAAAAUCCUUAACUACCACUAUGCACUCACUUAUGACUAUAGAACAUAUGGAUUCCUUGGGUGCGAGCUUCUAUGAAAUCUUGCAAAUCAAAUAGAGAGAUACAUCAUGACAACUUCAAAUAAAAAAGUUGUGAACUGCAAAGUUGCAUAAUUUUUUGAGAUCUAUAACUUUUGUUUUGGUCACUUCUAUCCUUAACUAUCACUACACACUCACUUGUGACUAUAGAGCAUAUGAACAUUGCUGGUCCCACGAAAGACUAACAUGAAGAAAACGUGAUGAGUAAUUAUAUUAAUUAAAUAAUAUAUUACUAAAUUUGCACAAAGACAACACUAUGAAUCUAUGAUUAUUCAUUUGUCCAUGAGUAGCCUAUUAUUUAAUCUCCUAUUUCUUGGAACGAAAGUACUUUCCAUGGCUGUGCCGUUGACCCUGGCACACCCCAUACAAGCGCUUGGUAUCUUCUGACCUUCUUGUUUUCAUCUGCAGCUUUAAACACAACAAAGUAGUUGUUCCCAUUACCUGCUGGUUGCAUGCUCACUGAGAUCACAUCGACGAGCGUAAACUCUUUAUUGUAAACUAGUCUAUGCAUAAGCACUAUAAAUCUCCCAAUUUGCCAGUACAAGGUAUCAUGGGGGUUACUAACUUGUUUCCAUCCUUGAGGACUAGGAGGAAUAGGUUGUGGAGGAGCCUGAUAUGACAUAGGCGGAGGGGGUGUAGAUGAUGGUGAUGACGGUAGCAGUGGCGGUGAUUGGCCAUUCCCUUGUGAAUUUGUAGGAGCAGGAGGAGGACUCAUCGGUGGUGGUGGGGUUUGGAUGUUAGAUUGAUAUGGUGGAGGCAUAGAUGGCCGACUAGACAAUGGUAGAGGGGGUGGUCGGUUAUUAACAUGAUAGGUUGGAGGACUUGCAAGAGGAACAUAUGGUGCUAGAGGUGGAGAGCUAUUAACCUGAUGGGUUGGAGGUGUGGCUAAGGUACUAGAAGCCGGUGUAGGUGGUGGAUUGUUCAUUUGGUAUGUUGGAGGCAUGGUAGGAGUAGAAUAAGAUGAUAGAGGUGGUGGUAUUCUAGCUUGAUAGGUUGGAGGUGUGGAUGGGGGACCAAAAGUUGAGGGAGAUGGAGGAUUGUUUACUUGAAUAGUUGGAGGUGUGGCAGGAGGAAUAUAAGUUGAGGGAGACAAUGGAUUGUUCGAUUGAUACGAUGGAGGCAUGACUGUCAGACUAGAAUUGGACAAAGGUGGUGGAGUAUUAACUUGAUAAGUUGGAGGUGUGCCAUGAGUAAAAUCAGGUGGUGAAACAGGAGGGUUAUUAGUUUGAUAGGUUGGUGGUGUAGCUAAGGGACUAGAAGACAAUGGAGGUGGUGUUUGAUAGUUUUGUGGUGUAUAAGGAGGAUUAGAAGGUGUUGUGGGUGGUGAGAUAUCAACUUGAUUAGGUGGAGGUGUGGGUAAGGGACUUGAGGUUGGUGGUGGCGGUGAUGGUUUUGCCGGAGAGAUAGAUGGUGUGGCUGGGGCACUAGAUGGUUGUGAAGGCAGUGGAUUGUUGGUUUGAUAGUUUGGAGGUGUGGAAGGUGGAGUAGAAGGUGGUGGGCUAUUAACUUGAUAUGCUGGAGAAAUGGGAGGAGGGCUAAAGUAUGACAAAGGUGGCGGGUUCUUUUCUUGAUAAGGUGGAGGCAUAACAAGGGGACUAGAUGGUGGUGGAGGCAAAGGGUUGUUAGCUUGAUAGGGUGGAGGCAUGGCGACCAGAGGCGUUGGGUUAUUUGCUUGAUAAGCUGGAGUGUUAUUAGUUUGAUUUGUCGGAGGUGCAGCAGGAGGGCUGAAAGGAGAGGAAGGUGGAGUAUAGUUAUCUUGAUAGGUGGGAGGUGUGGCUAUUGCAGUACUUGGAGGUGGUGCAGGCUGUGGACUUUUAGCUUGAUAAGUUGGAGGAAAUGGAGGGUUAUUAGUUUGAUUUGUUGGAGGUGCAGUAGGUGGGCUCGGUGGUGGUGUAUUUGGCUGACCUGCUUGGGAAUUUGGUGGAAUGGCUGGUGAACUAGAAGCAGAUGGAGGUGUCGGUGAGUUUUCUUGAUACACUGGUGUUUUUGAUAUUGGAGAUGGUUGCCAUGGUGAAGGUGUGGCAGGGGGACUAGAAGACGACAUAGGUGGCGGACUGUUGCUUUGAUAUGUUGGGGGGCUGAAAGUUGAUAGAGGUGGUGGAUUAUUUUCUUGUUGGUAAGUUGGUGCCGGUGGCAGGGUUCCAGCUUGAUAGGUCGGCGGGAUCCAGGGUGGGCUAGAAGGUGUUGUCCCUGAUGAACUACCUUGAGGCGGACUAAAAUUUGAUGAAGAUGUCGGACUCUCUACUUGAUAGGAUGGAGGUGUGGUAGGGGGCGUUAAUGGCGGUGGAGGUGCUUGGCUAUACGUUGGAGCUAUAGUUGGGGGAGUAGACGAUGGUGAUGGUGGUGGCUGUUGCUCAUAGACAGGAGUUGUUGGUGGAGGGCUUGACGGUAUUGCUGGCGAUUGACUGAUUGGUGGAUAGCUCGGAGCCAUGGUGGUUGGAGAGGGGGGUGGUGAUGACAGGCUAUUACCUUGGUCGGAGGGAGUCCCAGGCUGUGAUGGUGAUUCUUGUUCAUUACCACAGGCAGUAUUCUUUGGUGGCCCGUGUCCAUCGCCAUGGGGGUCCGGACCUCGCCCUGGUUUUGGGCAAUGUGGGUUGUUCACUGGACCAACGCCAUUGUUCGACUUCUGCCCGCCAUCACCAUUGGAGUGUGGGUCGUGCUGCCCCCAGCCAUGGGGCUUAUUACCAUCGGCUCGAGGUACGUGAGCAGUGAGGACAAGGAUGAGAAGUGGCAAGAGAACUACGGCCGGUCUCAUGGCAUGAGAAUGCAGCGUAGGCUACAGCAAGAGAGGUUUUUGCGUGCUGAAUUAAUGGCUUGUGAUUCAUGGGCAGCUAGAGUGAUGGUGGCCUGUGUUUAUAUAGUGGUGGCACUCGAGGUUGAUCUCGACCGAGUAUACAUGUUAGUUGCCAGUAGUGUUACCCUCGAUCUAAGCUGCACUGCUGCAGAAGCUUCAGGAUCACCGGCCUGCUUUCAUUAAUUAGUUAGUGUCAGCUGCUGAGCUUAAAGAAGAUGACAAGAUGAAAUUACUUAAAUGAUCAGACUCUUGACCACUAUAUUUCUGUGCUAUUUCCGUUGACAUUGGGCUGCAUGCACGGUUCUCCGCGCGCUCAGAAUCUUACAGACCUGAAUGAUCGUGCCAGUUAAUUGACAACUACUCCUGCACACGAGUUGACCUGAAAAUUGAACCUCGGAAGAUCUAUACAUGGAUUCUAAAUGUAGCAGAAAAUGACAGGUAUUCAGAUGAGUUGGUGCUGCCCUAGAUCUGGGUUGAGUUGAAAUAGUAAACGAGUACAUAGAUCGUUCAAAUUAAAUUCUGAAGUACAGAUAUCUGAAUACGUAUAUAUAGUUUCUGAACCUUGUGAGAUCAAGUUGUGUCUAUUUGCUGCAUGGACCAGCACAGCGAUCUAGGAACCACCCCCAUAUGCCAUGUGAUGUACUGAAGCUUCACGUCAUUUUUCGGGUAAAAUAAAGCAGACCUCAGUUACCUGAUGCCCUUUUCGUUUGUCAACUAUAAGUUACAGCUAGCUGCUAGCAAGCUUAACUUGGCAGCCAUGAGCUCAUCACAUGGUUUUCAUGAGUUUGUAGAUAGAGAGAAACCUAUCCUUUUUUCGAUCUAAACUUUAAUAUUGAAAUCGUAGAGGUACUGCAAAUCUUCUUUGUUGUAGGAUUACAAAGAACCGACACACGGUUUAUCACACCACAAGUAGAUCAUGGAGGCAAAAUGCAAAGUAAUGCAAAUAAGUUGAAAUACAAGAGAAAUAUAGUGCACACAUGAUUAUUUGGUUCAUCGAAGUUCAAUAACAUCCAUGAUGUGCCUAUGACUCCAUUGAUGAGGCUUUGAGCAACCCAGGGUCAUGCUCAAGCUUAGUCUCUUGGAGCCACUUCCCUCAAUAUACUAGCUUGGUCUUUUUCCAUAUUUAGACAAAAUCGCAACCCUAAAAAAUUUGCCUACAAACUUUCACGUACAUGGGGGCUCAUAAAACAACUCCUAGCCAUUUAGCGAGCUUCAUGUCCAAGAGUAAGAAAUGCUUCAUGAGUUUCUUGACCUGCCACAAGUGCUGAAACCUGGUUUGCUCUCUUGUUCUCUCUAACUCUAAGUGUAACGACCCAAAAAUUUUCAUAAAAUACCAAAAAUACCACCUGAAAUUUUUUUCUAAAAAUUAAAUAACCCCUGCUUGGUGAAUUCAUACUAGGAAAACAUCCUGUAGAUGCACAAGUAGAGCCUAUUUAAAUUUUGAGCAUAUGCAUAUUUAAUUUAACAUGUGAUUUGGCUCUUAUUGAUUUUAUGUGAUGAUUGAUAAAAUCAAUAACUUGUAAUUAAUCAACACCCUCCUAAAGCCGACCCGUGGGUUAGCGACCAUAAAACCCUAGACCCCCCUAGAAGACCCCCCCCCUUCAAGGGUGUAAACAAGUUGGUAACUAAUUUAUGCAAUUAAGGAAUCAAGAUGUAAAUAGUAGGCUUAUCAGAAAUAAUAAAAGGACUAAGUUUGGGCUGGGAAAAUGGGAGAAGGCUUUGGCCGAACCCGGCCUGCGGCCCAGACCGCCGCUCAACACUGCGCGCGGCCCAGCUCCGACCCACCCGCGCCUGCACUCCACUGCGCGCGGCCCAACCACCGGUCUGCGGCCCAGCGCUCGCUCAGCCCAGCAGCCAGCAAGCGCACCUGGCCCAGCACCACGGUUCGCGCAGCAGCCGGCCGAGCAGCACGGCAGCGCCCAAGCUCCCACCCCACGCGACUGACAGGCGGCCCCCGCCUGUCAUCCCCCACCUCACCCCUCUCCUUUGUUUUUCUUCCCCAGCAUCCCUGCCGUGAUGACACCACCGGUUCCCCUUUUGACCGAACGGAAAUUGGACGGGAGAGCACCCGCGCGUCGCCAACCACUCCCGCACCCGAAGCCCUAGCCUCGCGGACGCCAACACCCUACACGUGUCUCGAUGCCAUCCCCCGCCGUCUGCCGCAACCAUGGCCGGGAAUGGCUAUAAAAGCCAAUUCCCGAAGCCCUAGCACCCCCAUCCACUCCGCCACCACACCGCGGCUCAGCAGCCACGCGCCGAACGCCGCAAGCAAGAGGGAGAAGCAGGGAGGGGCAGGGGCGACCACGCUGCCAGGGCCGCCCAGGACGCCGGAGCAGGGCGACCACGCCGCCGUCUUCUUCCCCUACCUCGCGACGAGCUCCACGGCGCUGCGAACCCGCCUCGGCACGACCCCAACACACCGCUGCAGCGCCAUCCGCCAAGCAUCGCCACCACCGGUGAGUCUCUAACCCCACUUGCAUCCACCACCAAGACGGCGCGAGCGCCGCCGUGCGCGGUCUUCGCGGCCACACCCCCCCGACGCUGGCACGACACGCCCUGGGGAGAGCCAAGGUGCCUCCUUUCACGCGCCCCACGCUUGCCCGCACGCCGCACGCAACACACGCCAGGCACGCAGCACGCGCCAUGCCGCCUCGCCACGGACUGCGGAAGCGCCGCGCGCGUUCGCCGCGAACGCGCCCUGGACAGCGGCACCGCGAACCCACCUGAGCAGACCCCCAAGGCACCGCCUUUCGCACUUCUCGUGUUCGCCUCGCACCCGCCUACGCACUGCGCCACCUGUGCGCGCCGUUGGGCGCGUCGCGCGCACCCGAGCGGGCACGCUCACGGCCACGGUCGCCACGGGCACGAACGCCCCGGCAAGCACGCCGUUCCAGCCGUCGCGCGCCGGUAGAGAGACCCGAACCACCCUAGCGCCAACAUCGCGUCCUGGAACACACCGUGCACUGAGCGAAAGGGGAAGAAGGGGACACGAGCCGGAGAGAGAGGGCGCCGGAGUGCCGCCGGAGCGCGGCGUGACCUGGGGAAAACGUGGAGAGAGAGAGAGCAGGGGAAAGGGGGAAGAGCACCCUGGCUGCACCCGGUGCGCCGUGGACCGAAAAGAAGGGAAAGGGGAGUGGGCCAGGUUCACCCAGACCCAGCCAGCAGAUCACCAGCCCCGCCGUGAGCCGCAGCCGGCCGCGCCCCGCGCCUCCACCCCGCACCCUGGCCGCUGGGCCGAGCCCAGCGGCGAACCGGCAGCCGCCACCAGGCCGUCCUGGGCCGUCUCGCCAGAAGCCCGCGACCAGUUUCUCUUCCCCCUGGCCGCUGAGUUGGGCCGGUUUGAGCCCAAGCCACAGAACCAGCUUCUUUUUCUUUUCUUUUUCCAAAUCUAUAACUUGCUUAAAUAAUUUAAAACCCCAAAUGGAUUCCGAAAAAUAUAAACCAAGUGUCCAAAUUCUUCUAAAAACAAGUUCUACGUCCUAGGCUUAUUUAUGAGUGCAUUUGGUUCUGUCGAUUCUUCUAUUUGAUUUUUGUGAUGUGUAUAGGAGUCGCUUAUCGCGACCAUAUGUCUCGUUUGACAGACCCGGAGGAGCCGACGACUGAGGAGUACGACCCCGACUACACUGAGGAGCUCGAGGACGACUUGCCAGGUGCCACGUCCCACCCAACCUCGUAGAAUCCUAUUAGUCAUGCCAUGAAUGUAGAAGCUAGCGCUUUACUUUUAUGCAAUAAUCUGAGAUAGGAUGCAUGGUAGAAAUGCUUGUGAGCCGUUACCUUAUCGCAACCUACUACCCUUGCUUACCCGCAGUUAGGAUAGAAGCUUGCAUCUUACUACUGGUACUCUACUCUGCAUUAUAUCUGUGAUGUGAUGCUUGGUGGACAGUUGGGUUGGAUAAGGCAUGGAAUGCUGAUAUCGGAAUUUGGGGGAGAUCUUGGCGUGUGUCUUGGGUGAGUGAUGAGGGUCGAGUCGACCGAGCAGGGAAUGUACGACGAGUCUUGGGACGAGUCUUGCCGGGGAAUGCUACCUGGGCAUUCCCCAAGAGAGAUGCCUGUGGCGGGCUCAUGUGACAGGAAGAGGUCCCGGAGUGGGGUGUCUUCGUGGGACGAAGCGCCGGGAUGGGAGGUGCUGUUUAGCACGGGGUGACUUAAUGUCCCGUUAAGCGGGGCAUCGGCCGACCCCACGUGAAGAUGUCUUGCUUGGUCACUUAAGGACUGAUAUGUUCUGUGGACUGGGUCUUAUGAAGCCUUGCAUUCCCACUCGCCUUAGCCAUGGAACGAGACAGAUGGACGACCAGCUAGGGCGGUGCCACUACUACUAGGUUGCUAGCGGAAAGUGUAGGGAGGUAUGGGCAUGGGACCCACACCCUCCUAAGACAGCGUAGUGACCUUGGGGGCCCAGUACUACGUCUCACAGUAUCAGCAUGUCGGUGGUACUCCGGCAUGGCCCCAGUUCUGAGUGGUAGGGUGGCAUCGUGUUUAGUUGGAAGGCAGCCCGGCAUCAGCCUAGACGAUGUACAGCUUCGAUGAUGGUGAUCUUGUGGGUAGUGCAAACCUCUGCAGAGUUCUGGUUGAUCGAUCGAUACAUAUGCCGUUCGCGGCUAUGGACCUUUCCUAAGUACAGCUUCACUUGACUAGAGAGAGGAGUCCUUUCUACCUUCCCCUAGGUUUGUGUUGGAUCCGGCGAUGGCCGCUGAGGCAAGGCACGAGCGGGAGUCAUCCUUGCCACCUAGAGAGUGAGAGUGUGGCGAGAUGUGUGUGAUGGGAUGGGAGAAUGUGUGAAAGGAGUUGGAAUAAAAGUUGACUUAUUGUUAUAAAAUUUGACUUAAUCGCAUAGGAAGCUACAGCCUUAUAUUAGGUCUCUUGAUACAUCCCCUUGCAUUCCACCUACCACAAAGCUUCGCAAAAAGCAUAGGGUGGGAGCCAGUGGCCAGUACAAAUCGUACUGAUACUUUGGCAGCAGGUUCUGAGCCUGAGUACGACUACGCGGGCGACGAUUGGGAGGAGUAGCUGUCUCAUCCUACGCUCAAGGUUGGAGGAUCCAGAGUUCGCGCCUUCGCUAUCUACCCGAUGUUGUUCCGCAUGUUGUGUGUGUGAGUGUGAUUCCGCCAAGUGGCGAUGUAAUAAUGAGUAAACCCCUCUUGUACUCUCUUUUGUUCGUGUAUGACUUGUAUAACAGCUGAAAUUCGGGUAAUUCGAAUUGACUCCUUCGCGCGUUAAUUCGUUUUACAAUUCGAAUCUGGGGAUUUCCCUUCGUGGAAAUCUAGAUCGUUUCACUAAGAGCAGGUACAACAUUGUCUUAUAGCCAACCUAGUCAGUAUUUUUGCUGAUGUGGAUGAGAGAAAGGAAGAGAGAGGAGAGCUUGGCUCUCAUGUAAGCACUAAGCUAGACAUGGAAGCAUAGACCACAGUGGGCUCUAAUAGAAAUGUAUGUGAGAAGGGAUAUAAAAGAGAACAAAAACUUAUAACAAUAAAAAAGUUUGUAGACAAAUGGAGACUAAGUCAACCAUCCUUAGAAAUAGCUGCAGCACGAAUAAGUUCAUAACUUUUUUAGAUGAAGUCAGAUGAAAACAAAAUUUAAAUCAAAAUUGUAGAGCUUAACGAGAUCUAAAACUUUGUAGUUAAUAAAAUUUUUAUUUAAUAUCACUUAGGGUUCUAAAUACAUAAAAGUCGUAGAUUUGAAUUUCAAAUUUUUGAAUUCCAUCUUGGAUUGAGAAAUGUUCUAUACCAAAGUUGUAGUGCUCAACGAGAAAUCUAAAACUUUGUAAUCGAAAGUUUUGUCAUUUAAGAUUGUCUAUGAGUUAAAAUAUUAAUUACAAGAUUCAUACAAAUUAGUACAAGUAGACAACAUUAUAGAACUAGGCACAAGUGAUUUUUUGGUGCAGUGGUAAGGUAAAGAUCAUGAAAUAGAGAGAGAAGUUGUGGGUUCGAAUCUUGGGUGUUUGACACUAUUUCAAAACAAGUGGAAAAUAAUAAUUCUUGAGAGUUGUGGCUAGGCUUCAUUAAAAAUAUUUUUCCUUAUUGUUAAUAGAUUCUAAAUGGUUUUUAAUAAACUUUAAAAAAAAUUAGGGCCUCUGAAAAUCAGUUAUGUUUACAAUCGCUAGCAUAGUAGUGGUUUUUGAAACUGUCUCUGAAUAUUACUUUUGACUGUCUAUAAAUUUUUUUUCUGUACUACUAUAACUAUUGUAUAGCUUAGCUCUUAUAACUUGACUUAUAGCUAAGUACUUGGCUCUAUUAUUAAUGUUUCUCUAAAUCUCUAAACCAAACACUUUGAUCUCUCAAGAAUUACACAAUCUCACAAAGUGAGGGUUGGUGAAAGUUCUCACAAGGGCUACCAAGAUAUUAGGCACUUCCUUGUAUUAUCUUUCGUUCGGAUCGUUCUCUUUUGAUGAGUGGCAAAGCUUUACAAAAAAGAGUUAUUGUCAACAUACCUACAUGGCACCGGCCAAAUAACAUUGUUGGAAUUUUAGUUGGGCUAGGUCCAUAUAAGAAAUUCAGAUAUUUGUAAUAAAUCUCAAAGGUCCAAUCAUGUGUGCAAAGAGAAGAUAUUGGAAACUCUUUACUCCCAACUUGCUCAGUGGAAGUGGAGGUACCCAAACAUAAAUAUGGGAGUUCUUUCUGCUUCGUGAAGUCUAGUGUGAGGAGGAGAAAGGGAAGCCCACACGUGCGUGCUUGCUCGCCUCAUCGGGUGGGGCAAAGGGUGUGGGUGCGUGACACCUAUGUGAAUGGUCCGCCAAAAUCUGGCUCCUCGCCUCACGGGAGCGAUCUUGGCCUUCAAGUUUGCAUAGUCUUAAGUUAUUUAAAUCUAUAGAGUCCUAAAUGAUUUAGAUCGUGGUCACGACAUGAGGUCGGUUAGACAGGACUAUAUAUGUAGUCUAUUGUCCAUGCCAAAACAUAUCCAAUUAAGCUGGGAUUUUGCCUCUUCUUGUUGCUACGCAGCCAUCGUAGUUUCUCCAGUUUGAUCACUUGUGUGCACCGGAGACGGAGCAAAUAGGUUUUUGGAACCCUUCGUCUUAGCGAUCCAGCACCAGGAGAGGACAAAUAACGUUUUCGAGAACCUCUUUCCACACGAUAGUUCGUCUUCCGAAAGCUGCAUCUAGACGUUGCCUUCGUCGUCGUCUAGCUCGUGGCAUCUUCAACGGGAACGUUCCUCUACCCCUCAUCGAUGACCUCGAUCUUGUGCCAUCAUCACGAGCUUCAUCGCCAUCUGCAUCUUCACCAGCAGUGACUACAUCUCCAAUCAGAAGAUAUAUUCUUUGUGAUCUAAUGUCGUCGUUCAUAUUGUUUAAUCUGUGUGGUGUACAAGCUAUGCUUACACUAGUAAUUUUGUUCAUGUUAUGCAAUAUGCUAUUGGAUAAUGCUAGUAUUCAUGCUUUGAUUAAUCUAGUUUUCAAGACUAUCAUGAUUUAUAUUCUGGUUUUAAUCUAAAAAUUGCCUAAUUACUUAACAAUCCAAAAACCUCAGUAUAAGGUCUUUUCUAGAAUUAUCUAUGGUAGUUUCACUGACGUGUUGAGGCCGGCCAGGUUUUCUAGUGCAUACUUUAAGAGGUUGUCUAUCAUGGUCACUAAUUGGCUUACGACCAUGAAAGUUUUCUGGGUGAAAGAUCAUAUACCCGAGGAAAACAUCUCUGAAGAUAAGAGAAAAUUCUAGGAUGCCAACGAGAUCUUUGUGGGAGCUGUGAAUGUAUUGUCUGAUCAUUUAUUUGAUUCGACUCUACAUAUGACAAAUGCAAAGACUCUGUGGGAUUAUCUAAAUGCUACCUAUGGUGCUUUAGAUGUAGGCAAGGAGCUGUACAUCAUGGAGAGCUUUCAUGACUAUAAGAUUGUUGGAAACAAAUCUAUAAUCAAGCAAGCUCACGAGGUUUAGCACCUAGCUAAAGAACUUGAACUCCUUAAGUGUGUCAUACCUAACAAGUUUGUGGCUAGAUGCAUAAUUGCAAAGUUGCCUUCUUGAAAGCCCUAGUUUGGUUUUCGAUAAUUGAUAAAACCUAUGUGUACUAACCUUUGUCAUGACUAAAAUGCAAAGAUAGAUUCGUACACACCAAGUGAUGGAGCUAGAUGAUGGUCAUGGUGAUGGAGGUGACCAAAAGAUGAUAUUCAAGUGCUCCAACUUUGAAAAGAAGAAAGAGAAAAAUAAAAUAGGCUCAAAGCAAAGGUAUUUUUAAUAGGGCCAAUUUGUUUUACCACUCUAGACACCUAGUGGGUGUGAGUGGAUUUAGGAUAGAUAACCAUACUAUAAAGAGGAGAAAUCUUUAAUUGCAAUGGUUAUCUAGUGCCACUAAGUAUGAGUCCCAUUUGCAUAUACCUAGCGCUUAGUUACGUAGUGAGAUGCUUAAGAAAACCGUGAAAAAAUAUUUGUGAAAAGCUAACUUAAAUGUCCAUUUUAUUUUGGAAUAUUUUGGUAAAGCUAGCAAAUUUAAAAAGCUUGAAGAAGUGCUGAAAAAUCAUAGAUGGUGUACUGCUGUUCAAGUGGAAAGGUUUUACAAGUAGCUGAAACAAGCUAAAAGUAGUCGCAACCAAUUAAAACCAGUAUGCUUUUUAACAGCAAGCGGAUGAAAGCAAUUGAAAGAAGGUGGAAACAGUUGUGACCAGUUGGAACUAGUUAAAACCAGUGCGUAGUUUAAUAGCAAGCAAGUGAACCUAAUUGUAAGAAGGUGGAAGCAGUUGCAGCUAGUUGGAAUCGGUUGAAAGAAUUUAAAACUGCUGCUUGUACCUGUUUGGCUUGUCAACCAAAAAUUAGAGCACAGCGUGGGCUUAGUUUUUGUCUGGAAGAAAAAUGAGUUGCUACUGCCGCUGUUUUCAUCUGUGCCUCUCAUAUUGCCUGUGCCUAAAAUAGCAGCUAUAACAUGUGUCGUUUGGCUAAGCAGAAAGAGAAUACAAUACGAGGCAACUUUGCAUGCUCGCAUGCAUUUGCUGAGACAUUGUAGCUCUUUGUUGCUCGCCCUUUCAAAUUGGUGGGGCCAGCGCUGAGAGCAUGCAGUGGGCCACCCAGUGCCUAUGCCGCUGCUGGCCAAGCAAUCAAGGCUGUGCGCUCCCUUUCCUUUCCCUCUCCCUCGGAAACACAGAAUAGAACGCUUUACUUCUUCCUUUCCAGGAACACUCAAGCUGCUCUCUCUCUCAUCUCUCUCCAAGCUUGGUGCUAAUCUUUAGAGAGAUUUUUUGAGAGGUCUUCGUGAUUGAUCUAGUGAGCUCGUGAGCUUCUCCUCCCUCUCCUCUCCCUCUCAUAGCUUGUGGCUCAUUUGAGAGAGGAUUGAGGGAAACCCUAGGUGCAUUUGAAAUUACAUAUUCUUGUGGCACUAGAUGAUUGUUGAAAUUGUGGAUUUCUUAUUACUCUUGGUGAUUGCCGUCACCUAGACUGUUAUGGAUUUGUUGAUUGGUGAGGAGAUUUGGUGAUUAUGUCCGCCACCAAUCAAGUGAUAUUUGUGAGGGGUUGUUGGGCUUAUUUCCCGGUGAAGUGCCAAAAGCCACUCUAGUGGAUUGUUUGUGUCAUUGAGCUAUCUUUACUUGUGGGUAGGUUCUUGCGGUAUCCAUUUGUUGGGCUAGAUUUGUGAAACACCUAUUAGCCGCUAAACUACCAAGUGUUGGUCGACACAACAGGGACUAGCGUGCUAGCAAGCACGUGAACCUCAGGAGAAAAAUCUUGUAUCAAUUAUGAUUGAUAUUCUCUUGAUGAUUUUAUGGCAAUCAUAUUGUAAUUGGUUCAUCCUCUACAUGUCGAUAUAAUUAUCACUCACCUAUUUACCUUAUUGCAAACUAGCUGUAACUAGUAGUUCCUAGUUGUAGUUAGUUGUAACUAGUUGUAGAGAGUAGUGACAUAGACAUUGCUUGUGCCUAGAGAUCAUAGCAACUAGAAUUAUUAGAUAGGUGGCUUGCAACCCUUGUAGAGCUAGAGAAAAAUUGAUUCAUGCCUUUCGUUAUAUUAAUCCUUUGCUCUAUUGCCUUGUAGAUUUUUUAAAUAGGCUAUUCACUCCUCUCUAGCCAUAUUAGGACCUUUCACUCCUAUAUGGAGGGGCUUCACCACAAGCCCCAAACAUGAGACAAAAUAUAUUAGUUGAAAACCUAAUAGCAUCUCUUGAUUUUAAGGAGAAAUCUCGGGCUAAGGACAAAAUCGAGAAGGAGAACAAGGGACAUCUUAGUGCCGAUUUCAUCCAAAGAAACUCACUUGGCAAGAAUAAAGGAAAAAAAUAAGUCUUUGAAUGCCAAAUCUACAACUACAUUCAAGAAGAAGAAAGAUAAAGCAGAGUUGCCUUGCUUCACUUGUGGAGAGCUUGGGAGGUUCUCUGGACAAUUAUAAGACAUAUGCCCCUCCUUUCCAUAGCGGAAACACCUGUUAGGAGUGUUGGGAGCACUGUCCUUCCUAGGGGUGUCAUUAGAAUUCCUUGAUCGAGGUGUCUAUUGACCACCCUGCUGCUGAUAAGAGUUACGCUGCUGAAAAUGAAAACACUGAUUCUCGCUCUGCUCUGGAAAUGCUGAGGGUGCUGAUCAUGGUUCCACUGACUAACUAGUCCCUGAUAACUCUGAUGGGAACCUUGUUGAGAGCCGAAGCGCUGGCGGUUAUUGCUACCCAAACUUUGUCCUUGCAUUCUCCUCUUCCGAUCAUGACUCUUGCGCAUAUCAUCCAACACAAUGGCACGGUUCACCGGAGCUUAGAAAGUAGGGUAAGUGUUUCCAGCCAACUGCAAUCUGAGAUCAUAAUAAAGGCCUUUCAUGAAUAGACAUUGCUUAUCAGUACUCUGCAAUAGUCAUAGAGCUCAUUCUAAGUGAUCUAAACUCCUCUUGCUUAAGCUCUAUCAUCCCUUCACAGAUGUGACGUGCCUUGAAAUCUAGCAGAAUUCCUGCCAAGUGACGGCAGGAGCAUUAUUAGGACGAGCAGCUUGGUGUGAUUCCUACCAAGUUUGAGCUGCUCCCUGUAGCUGUCCAGAAGCAUAUAGCACCUUCUCCAGAUCAUUGCACUCAGCUAGGUUUAACUGUCUUUCCACAACAUGCAACCAAUCAUAUGCUUCCAUAGGAUUAGCAGAAUGAGCGAACACUGGAGGUCAUCCUUUCAUAAACUUGCCAUGUUUAUCCCUCGCAUAGACAGGUGGUGGUGGUGGUGGUAGUGGAGCUGCACGCUGGUGCUGAAGGUGUUGUAUGAAUGCAUGCAUCAUCUCAUUCUGUGUAUGCAUAAGUUUCUCCAUAGAGAUUGGGGCAUUAGGACCCCUACCACGGCAUCUGCCUCUUGCUUCCAUCUGUAGUCCAAAGCAUAGAAACAACUGUCAGCAUUAUCCAACAUGAUAAUUAUAAGAGAUAAGUAAAUCUGAAUUUCCUAGACGAAGUCCAACAUUAGCAGUUCUGAAAAACAGUCAUAUCUCGAGUUCCAGGUGUAAAAAGGAGACAUCCUUUAUACCGUUGGAAAGAUAAAGAACUUAUCUACAACUUUUAUUUAGAUCAUGUUAACAGAUUCUGUCAAUAAAUUAGUCAAAACUGAGCGUAACCAAAAUUGUUCCAGAAUUCCAGACUGCGCAGAAACCUCAAAUUUGAACAGUUAUAUCUCACAGCUCAUAAUAGAUAAUAAAGUCAUUAUUGAGGCAUUAGAAAGAUAAAGAAGUGUAGUUGUUCUCAGAAAAAAUUGAUAAACUUUGCACGAACAGAAUUUGAUAUAUACCAGAAUUGUUGCAGACUGCUCCAGAAAUCAGCAAAGGACAAAAAUGGAAUUUAACCAAACCCAACUAUUUAGUUCAUUUAUCCUUAUGCCUUAGGCCUAUAAACUAAACAAAAUUGUGGAGAAAAUCCACAAGAUCACCACACUCAUUACAAAGAUCCAAAUCAAGCAUAAGCAUAAUAACAAACCAAACCAAGCAUUAAAGGUUCACACUUCAAGCAUUGACUCAACUUGCGGUACUAUCCUUCUCUUCUUAUUAAUGGUAAAGAUCCUAAAACUCCUAUUUCAAUGAUGCUAGAAAGUGGUAAGAAAAAGUUCUAAAAGCAUAUCAAAGCAAGGAGUGAGGAUGAGAACAAGUCUUUAAAAUAAGCAACAAGGUGAAGAUGAAUAGCAAUGGAAAAGAUAUAGUGUAGAGGAAAGCAUCAAGGUUUAUAGAACAAGGAUUUUAUAACAAUUUCAGAACUUUAAGACGGCCAAUUUCUAACUAGGCUUGUAUCCGACAGUCAACAAAGCUUUGAUACCAAUUUGUCACACCCAAAUAUCAAGAACGAAAUAGAGUGCAUAAAAGGCUUAUGUGCGCCCCAGAAAUAGUCGCACACAUAAGUUGACAAAUCUUGGUACAUUGGUCAAACCAAAAGACAUAACUGUAUACUCAUAUAACCCAUACCUUGUUGUGAAAGCUGUCUUUGGUAUAUCUAAAUUGCAGAUCUUCAACUGAUGACAACGAGAUCAUAGAUCAAUCUUAGAGAACACACAAGCACCUCUUAACUGAUCGAAUAAGUCAUCAAUUCUAGGCAAAGGGUACUUAAUCUUGAUAGUAACUUCAUUGAGUGACCGAUAAUCAACGCACAUUCUCUGACUACCAUCUUUCUUAUCAACAAAGAUAACUGGUGCACCCCAUGGUGAAGAACUAGGACGAAUGAACCCUUUAUCUUGCAAUUCUUUUAUUUGCUUCUUAAGUUCUUCUAAUUCAUUAACCCACAUUCUAUAUGGUCUUUUAGCUAUACGUGCAGUACCAGGUAGUAAUUCAAUUAUAAACUCGAUGUCACGAUCAGGUGGCAUACCUGGCAACUCAUCUAGAAAUACAUCUAGAAAUUCAUUCACAACACGCCUGAGGAUUAGCAUCAUCAUCCAACUGGUUCACUAUGGCUGUCUUUUGUUUCUACACCUUAACCUCUACCUUGAGUCGGUCUCCAGUUGGUGAUGUUAUUUCCAUUACCUUCCCUUCACAAUUAAUCUUUGCAUCUUGUUGCAUCAUCCAAUCUAUACCCAAGAUGAGAUCAAUUCCAGCUGUUCUCAGCACUAUGGGGCUCACUUUAAAGUCUACCCCCCUUAAAGUCAAAUUAAUUGGAAAGCAACAAUGUAAAGCUAGUAUAGUCCCUUCUGGUGAACUUACGGUUAUGAGGCUUUUCAUGGCACAAGCAGGUAUAUUAUGUGUUCUAAUGAAAGCUUGUCAAAUGAAUGUAUGCGAAGCUCCAGAAUAAAAAAGAACGGUAGCGAGAGCGGAAUGGACAUCAAACAUACCAAUCAUAACUUUAGGUUCCUCUACAGCUUAAGUGUCUGAUUGUUCUUCCGGUUGCUAUUUUGGCCUUGGGAAUUCUAUGGGUUGUGGUUCUCUGGACAAUUAUAAGACAUAUGCCCCUCCUUUCCACAGUAGAAACACCUGUUAGGAGUGUUGGGAGCAUUGUUCUUCCUAGGGGUGUCAUUACAAUUCCUUGAUCGAGGUGUCUGUUGACCACCCUGCUGCUGAUAAGAGUUACGAUGCUGAAAAUGAAAACAUUGAUUCUCGCUCUGCUGUUGAUUCUGGAAAUGCUGAGGGUGUUGAUCACAGUUCCACUGACUAACUAGUCCCUGAUAACUUUGAUGGGAACCUUGUUGAGAGCCAAAGCGCUGGUGGUUAUUGCUACCCGAACUUUGUCCUUGCAUUCUCCUCUUCCGAUCCUGACUCUUGCGCAUAUCAUCCAACACAAUGGCACGGUUCACCAGAGCUUGGAAAGUAGGAUAAGUGUUUCCAGCCAACUGCAAUCUGAGAUCAUAAUAAAGGCCUUUCAUGAAUAGACAUUGCUUAUCAGCAUCUUCUCUGACCUCAUUCAGAGCAUAGCGAGCCAACUGCUCAAAGGUAUCAUGAUACUCUGCAAUAGUCAUAGAGCCCAUUCUAAGUGAUCUAAACUCCUCUUGCUUAAGCUCUAUCAUCCCUUCAUUUAUGUGACGUGCCUUGAAAUCUCUGCAGAAUUCCUGCCAAGUGAUGGCGGGAGCAUUAUUAGGACGAGCAGCUUGGUAUGAUUCCCACCAAGUUUGAGCUGCUCCCUGCAGCUGUCCAGACGCAUAUAGCACCUUCUCCAGAUCAUUGCACUCAGCUAGGUUUAACUGUCUUUCCACAGCACGCAACCAAUCAUAUGCUUCCAUAGGAUUAGCAGAAUGAGUGAACAUUGGAGGUCGUCCUUUCAUAAACUUGCCACAUUUAUCCCUCACAUAGACAAGUGGUGGUGGUGGUGGAGCUGCAUGCUAGUGCUGAAGGUGUUGUAUGAAUGCAUGCAUGACCUCGUUCUGUGUAUGCAUAAGUUCUUCCAUAGAGAUUGGGGCAUUAGCACCCCUACCACGGCCUUUGUCUCUUGCUGCCAUCUGUAGUCCAAAGCACAGAAACAACUCUCAGCAUUAUCCAACAUGAUAAUUAUAAGAGAUAAGUAAAUCUGAAUUUCCUAGACGAAGUCCAACAUUAGCAGUUCUGAAAAAUAGUCAUAUCUCGAGUUCCAGGUGUUAAAAGGAGACUUCCUUUAUACUGUUGGAAAGAUAAAGAAAUUAUCUACAACUUUCAUUUAGAUCAUGUUAACAGAUUCUGUCAAUAAAUUAGUCAAAACUGAGCAUAACCGAAACUGUUCCAGAAUUCAGACUGCACAAAAACCUCAACUUUGAACAGUUAUAUCUCAAAGCUAAUAAUAGAUAAUAAUGUAAUUCUCAAGGCAUUAGAAAGAUAAAGAAGUCUAGUUGUUCCCAGAAAAAUUUGAUAACCUUUGCGCAAACAGAAUUUGAGAUAUACCAGAAUUAUUGCAGACUGCUCCAGAAAUCAGCAAAGGACAGAAACAGAAUUUAACCAAACCCAACUAUUUUGUUCAUUAAUCCUUAUGCCUUAGGCCUAUAAACUAAAUGAAAUUGUGGAGAAAAUCCACAAUAUCACUACACUCAUUACAAAGAUCCAAAUCAAGCAUAAGCAUAAUAACAAACCAAACCAAGCAUUAAAGGUUCACACUUCGAGCAUUGACUCAACUUGCGGUACUAUCGUUCUCUUCCUAUUAUUGGUAAAUGACGCUAAAAAGUGGUAAGAGAAUGUUCUAAAAGCAUAUCAAAGCAAGAAGUGAGGGUGGGAACAAGUCUUUAAAAUAAGCAACAAGGUGAAGAUGAAUAGCAAUGGAAAGGAGAUAGUGUAGAGGAAAGCAUCAAGGUUUAUAGAACAAGGAUUUUAUAACAAUUCCAGAACCUUAAGACGGCCAAUUUCUAACUAGGCUUGCGUACGACAGUCAACAAAGCUUUGAUACCAAUUUGUCACACCCAAAUUUGAAGAACGAAAUAGAGUGCAUAAAAUGCUUAUGUGCGCUCUAGAAAUAGUCGCACACAUAAGUUGAGAAAUCUCAAAUAGUACCACCACAAUGUUUAUUACAUAGCGGAAUAAUAAUCAUUAUAUAGUCUUAAAUAAAUAAAGAUACUCUCGACGAAAGCACCACACAGGGAGACUGUCAACUGGUUGACUCCAAGCCUAGUACUCAUAACGGUAGUCCUCAUUUCAGUCGUCUUCAUUAGAAUAUCCUGAGGUGUUGUGAAAUAGUAAGAGUGAGCACAUAUCGUACUCAACAAGUAUAACCAGAGAUUCAUGAGACUCAAUUAGCUGACACUGGUUUGACUGCAUUUAGCUUUUAUCUGUAGAUGGCAUAUUUAUCAUUGGAUAGCAAAUAUCAAGGUAGCAUAAUUAAAUCCCAUAACUACAUAUAAACAACAUAAUAAACCAUCAUUUAUCAUCAUUAAUCAUGUUCAUCAGUGUCCAUCUAUUUCGUCAGUUUUUCGGGCCGUCCGUAUCCGUGGGCAUGGCUAGUAUACCAGAUUUAGCACUCUCCAGAGGUUCUAUAUCUUUACCCAUGAGUCAUGAUUUACCUUUUGCCGAGGCCCGUCGACCUCUUAGCUCACUUCUAAGGAAAGCCGGCAAGGUUCACUAUGCAGCCUUUCAAAGGUUUUGUCUAACAAGUUAGGGCCAUUAGAUUCACUCGGUAGACAAAUAUAGAGCCCCCCUUCCAUGGCACAUAACACGCAGCCUAUACACACGGACAGAGGUCGCAUUAUACCCCACGUGUCUAGCCAUUCUUACGCCAUUUAUGGUAACCGCUAACAAGCUAGAAAAAGGUCCUCAUACUGAGCUAAAACCAGAGCCAUAUUGCCCUCAUGGUUGUACGAGUUGACCCAGCUUUUGCCAAGAGAUAAGUCCUUAUGGAGGGUCAAGAUCAAUCUAGCAAAAGCUAGAGUUCUUUCCACCCUUUAUAUUCAAGUUGCUCGAAAGCUUAUUUUAUUGUUUAUUACAUAUCCAAAUAUUCAUGUUACAAGAUCAUAGAUUACAAUCCAGCACUAGCAAGAACUACCCAAAUGCAUAUCCAAAUAGGUAUCAAAGAAUUCAAGAUAACAAGCAUCUAUGAUUUUGCUAAGGUUGUGAAGUUGAACAUAUGCAUAUGAUAUAUGUGUAAUUAUGAGUGUAUAGGUAACAAGGAUGAUCCCAAGUUAUACUUGUCUUGAUCAAAGCUUUCUUGUUGUUCCUGCUAGUCGUCAAAAGAUUGGCCUUGAUCACCAACGUAUUGCUCAUCGUCUAUACUCGAUCAUCAAUCAACAACACGCAUUCCAAUAGACAAUCAUACACAAAGCAACAAGCUAUAAUUAGAACAAUACACCAACAGUGAUAAAACAAAUAUAAAAGUUUAUAAAAAUGUUCUACGCAGCGCCACGAUCACAUAGACGUAAAGAUCACGAAAAUUAGAAUUAAAACGGAGAAGUUAUGAAUUUUCUAAGAUUUCCUAUAGAAACAUAAUUAAUUAAAUAGUACCAUAAAAAUAAAAGGUUAGAAACUGAGAAUACAGUGAUACUAACACGUAGAGCUCGCAAAGACGAACCUAACGCAAUUUGAAUGGGUCAAAACGAAGUUAAAAUAAAGAUUAUAUAACUAAAACAAUCUAGUGUAUUUCAUUUGUAUUUCCAGAUUUAUUUUUAUAAAGAAAAACGGCCGACAUCACCCUAACAUAACACAAUGGUGGCCAUCAUCAGAUAUGAUCUUCUUGUGUGCACCUGGACGAUGGCCAACAAGCCACGGAGAAGUGAGCCGAGAGCAUGAAAGAGAGCGGCAACAUACUGCUCACCUAGAGCGAAUCCACAGAUUGGAGCGAGACAGAGAUAAUGGAUUGCUUGAUUUCAGCGGAUGUCAACGUGCUACUUGGAUCGUCGGGGAAGCAGCAGAUAGACAUGGCGUCUAUGGCGAUGAGCUUGGCUUCUCGGCGAGACGCAAACCAAGAUGAGAGUGCAACUAGGGCUUGAAGUAAUAAUCUGGCUCAGGUUAAGCCAGCGGCACGGAGGUGGCCAUGGCUGCACUAUAUGGCCAUGCAACAAGCCAAACGAGGCAACCGUUUAUUUUCCCUUGUUUUUCUAAAAACUGAAUUUUUAACUCUAUUUUUCAAAAGAGAAUUUGAAUUCAACUAAAUUUAAAACAAAACACUCGGUACAAAAAUAAAAUAAUGACCAGUAUGAAUGCAAAAACAUGUUACUAUCCUUAUGACAAGUUUUAAUUUCAGCAAAAAAUAUUUAUUUACUAAAUUAAAUGCUCACAAAAAUACUUAAAUAAAUUCAAUUAAAUCCUAUUAAUUGAAAAAUCAAAAUUUGGGUGUUACAAAUUUGUCCAUCUUUUACUCUCUUUUUUUCUUUUUUUUCUUUUUAAAUACUUUUGCACAGCCACAUAUAUCCUCUGAAUAUAAAUAAUUGGAGAGAUAAUGAUAAGAACUUAGAGCAACUAAAUAGGGGCUGUCCUAUAGGGUAUAUUUUUUGGGUGUUUACUCCUAGUGUAGGAGAAAAUAUUUUUUUACGGUGGAUCUGGAUGGAACUGAAAAUGACUGCGCUUAUAUCCUAGAGUAGGAGUAAUGCAUAUGUGGGUGGAGUGCGUAAGUGAUCUUAAUUUUAAAAGCAUGACAAGACUCUCAUAAGGUAUACUCUAAACGUUGACUAAACUCAAUGUAAAGCAAGCAGCAUGAAUGCGCAAAGGUUUUCCUAACUCUAAAUGUAUCAUAUAUGACUUUGGUAGGAAAUUCAUUAUGUAUGAUUUUUGGUUUUCAAAAUAAACUUCAGAACUUAGUAAUGCUAGGAAUAAGAUAAAUAGCAGCUUAGACCAUCAUGUAUCAUAUCAUCAGUUACCUAGACUUAGCUCAACAUAUGCUUCCACAAAUUUCAGGUUCAGAGUAAAUUUGUAUAUCAAAGUAGUCAUGUCUACAACUCAGGAAAAUUCAUGGUUGAAAACUAGGCACUCGAAAAGAAUUACUGUAGAGCAACUAUUUAUCAUCUCUAAGACAAAAUUUUAAUGUUCUCUAACUUUUAUUUGACUCUAAACUAGAUUGACUGUAGACACACUCUAUGAUCACACCUUAAUAUAUAGAUAAAUAUUUUAUUUUUUAUUUUAAAUUAUUAUUCAUCUUUUUAUUUCUAUUGGACUCACAAGACUUAAAGACAUGGAUCUUCAUGUGCCCAUAUAUUUUUGGUAUUUUUAUAUUUUCUUAUGAUACUAUUAUGAACCUUCAUGUGCUCACAUAUUUUUGGUAUUUUAUGACUAUAUAAAAUAGACUCGAUAAUCGCCUAGGUAUAGUUACCUGAUAACUAGGGGAUGCUCCUCCCCCAAGCUAGAUGUUUGUAAUAGUUGGUGUUCAUGAUCUUCAGACUGAGCUAACCGGCAGCGCUCUAGGUGGGUGCCACUAAUAGACUCUCUCUUUGUCAUAAUAUUGUUCCAGCAUAAUUAUACUCCAAAAAGAAAACCAAAACUCGAUGCUCGAAUUUAAUAAUAGGUUUGCGGUCAGCCAGUAAGUGAUUGAUUGUUGUUUGAGUUGAUUUGAAUUGACAUAUUCUAGCAGGAUUCUCUUUUUUUAGGAUUUUCUAGUUUAAUUAUGUAGAAAUUAAAUAUGUGUGCAUGAUAUAUAUAUAGUUGUAUUUUUAUGCCUCCAUAGAGAAUAUUUAUUCUUAUAGGGCUUAGGUUUUGUUUCAUACUGCAAGAAAGUAAAUACUUGAGCUAUUAUUAUUUAUGCCACCCUAGUAAAUAUUUCUAUAUGGUUAUCAUAAGUUUAUUCACAUGGGGCUUUAAAUAUUUUAUGAUGUAGUAAAUGAAGGAAUAAAGAUUUUUAUUUUAUUUUAUUUUAUUUUUAAUAUUUAUGAAGAUGAAUAUGUUAGGGUAAAUUUAUUAAUGUAGACAAAAAUACUAAUUAAAUAUAUAACUACCAUAGUACCUUAAUUAUGGCAAGAAUAUAAAAUUUUUAAAAUUUACCGAAGGACUUCUUCCACUCUUGUGUAUCUCUCCAUCUUGAGUGAUGGAGGUCUUGUUAGUUGCAUACCUCUAGUGAUGAUGAUGUCACCUUUGUUCUUUGAUUUGGCCACCAGGUUGAAGGAGAGUUUUAAUAGUAGCUGGCAACAUCUUGCUCAGUGUGCAUGUUCACAGAAUUUUCACUUGUAGAAUUAAUAAACUUUGCUUGAUGUGUUGUCCUGUUUGCAAAACUAAGGUAGAGAUCAAGUGCAUGGGCUCUUCUGGUGGAAAAACGCCAACAGAACCAAAGCUAUUUCUUUAUUUACUUUUCUCCAUCUUUAGGCACAUUAAACAAGAUAAAUUGUGUUACAUGAUUUAUUUAUUUAUGAGUGGUAAGAUCAAAAGAUUAAGCAUUUAAUGUUGCAUUUAAGUUCACAUGACAGAAAAUAAUGUAAUUGCUUAACUAAUGGAAGGAUUGUCUAAAUGGAAGUAUUGUCUAUCUCUAUAUAAAUUUUCAAAUAAGUAUGACUAUCAUCUUCCUAAGAUUGAAUAUAAUCUUGUUUAGUUAAGACUGAGAUUAAGAGAAUGGUGCCAUGAAUAAUUUUAAAGAGCUAAGCAUAUUGAGUUAAUUAAUUUAAGUUGUAACUUUAAUAUGUUUGUGUCUUCACUUAUGUGCACACCAAGAUCAAGAGAAGAGAGUGACCAUUUACCGUAGAAUAUUACCUUCAUUAUUAGAGUGUGAUGGCACUAAUUGAUGAAGGGUAAAUGACUGGUGGUCCUUCCUCUUGCAUCUUGAGUUGUUCAUAGACAUCUUGUCUCCUCUGUUGCACUCAUUCUGUUGCCAUCUUUUGCUUCUUUAAUCUGUUGACUCUUUUCACUCCAGUCGCUAUUAUGCCUGCAACAGAUUAGUGGACAACACAUACCCGAAGGAGUAUACAAGUUUUUAGCAUAGGUUGCUUGUCUAGUAUUUUAUUUUGCUCUAUCUAUGAUAAUAAAAAAAUAGUAUUAAUAUUGUUUUAGCAUAGAUCAUGUUUUAUACAGACAUGGCUCGAGGCAAAGUAACUUGUAAUAGAAGAUAGAGUGAAUGAAUCAUUAAUGUUCACAAUUCUUUCAUUUAUGAUGAAUGAGUUGUGUCUUCUUCUACAAAGUUAUCGAAGUUCAUGAUAUGCAAUGUCUUAUAUCUGAAUUGAAUUCAUCUCAUGACUUACCUAAAUUAAAUUUAACAAUUUUCCUGUAGGGGUUAGUCCACAAAAUAUCUAAUGUCUACUACAGUAUAUUAUUAGUUCAAAAAUUGACGUAGACACCACGUCUAAUUUGAUUUAGGAAGGCAUUUUAACCUAAGC
rnacentral:lncRNA from 1 species